rnacentral:rRNA from 1 species
GGCUGCUGGCAGGGAGUUAGCCGGUGCCUCUUCUGCGAGUNNCGUCAAUCAGCAAGGUUAUUAACCUUACUGCCUUCCUCCUCGCUGAAAGUGCUUUACAACCCGAAGCCUUCUUCACACACGCGGCAUGGCUGCAUCAGGCUUGCGCCCAUUGUGCAAUAUUCCCCACUGCUGCCUCCCGUAGAGG